AUAAGAGGUCCAGCCUGCCCAGUGACUCUGUUCAACGGCCGCGGUAUCCUAACCGUGCGAAGGUAGCGUAAUCACUUGUUCUUUAAAUAAGGACUAGUAUGAAAGGCACCACGAGGGUUGCACUGUCUCCUUUCUCUAAUCAGUGAAACUAAUCUUCCCGUGAAGAAGCGGGAAUAAAAAUAUAAGACGAGAAGACCCUAUGGAGCUUUAAACUAAAUAAUAAUAGCCUACUCAUUUACACAACUCCAGAUGAAUACUUUACCCUGGCUCGAUAAUUAUUAGUUUUUGGUUGGGGUGACCACGGAGAAAAAAGAAACCUCCGCAAUGAAAGACUCUCCUUCUUAGUUUAGGACUACUUUCCUACGCAUCAAUAAAUUGACACAUAUUGACCCAACAACGUUGAUCAAUGAACCAAGUUACCCUAGGGAUAACAGCGCAAUCCACUUCAAGAGCCCCUAUCGACAAGUGGGUUUACGACCUCGAUGUUGGAUCAGGGUAUCCCAGUGGUGCAGCCGCUACUAAAGGUUCGUUUGUUCAACGAUUAAAACCCUACGUGAUCUGAGUUCAGACCGGAGUAAUCCAGGUCAGUUUCUAUCUAUAAAGAGCUUUUUUUAGUACGAAAGGACCAAAAAAGCAUGGUCCAUGUUUAUUACAAACCAUUCUAAUUAACUUUUGACUUAAC
rnacentral:rRNA from 1 species